rnacentral:rRNA from 1 species
ACGAACGCUGGCGGCGUGCUUAACACAUGCAAGUCGAACGGAAAGGCCCUGCUUUUGUGGGGUGCUCGAGUGGCGAACGGGUGAGUAACACGUGAGUAACCUGCCCUUGACUUUGGGAUAACUUCAGGAAACUGGGGCUAAUACCGGAUAGGAGCUCCUGCUGCAUGGUGGGGGUUGGAAAGUUUCGGCGGUUGGGGAUGGACUCGCGGCUUAUCAGCUUGUUGGUGGGGUAGUGGCUUACCAAGGCUUUGACGGGUAGCCGGCCUGAGAGGGUGACCGGCCACAUUGGGACUGAGAUACGGCCCAGACUCCUACGGGAGGCAGCAGUGGGGGAUAUUGCACAAUGGGCGGAAGCCUGAUGCAGCAACGCCGCGUGCGGGAUGACGGCCUUCGGGUUGUAAACCGCUUUCGCCUGUGACGAAGCGUGAGUGACGGUAAUGGGUAAAGAAGCACCGGCUAACUACGUG